GUUGUCGGAUUCAUUUCAAUCUAUGUAUAUUGGUAUGGUUUGGGGUGGAAUUUUGUUCAAAUUCUACUCUAAUCCACCUCAACACAUGUACAUUAAUGUGAAUCCGACU
rfam:Sorghum bicolor cultivar BTx623 chromosome 4, whole genome shotgun sequence.